rnacentral:rRNA from 1 species
UAAGACAGAGGUGGCAAGCGAUGUCCGGAAUUACUGGGCGUAAAGAGCGCGUAGGUGGCUAGAUAAGUCCGGUGUGAAAUCCUUCGGCUUAACCGGGGAAUGGCAUCGGGGACUGUUUAGCUAGAGGACGGGAGAGGAGAGCGGAAUUCCCGGUGUAGCGGUGAAAUGCGUAGAGAUCGGGAGGAAGGCC